AUGAUAUGCUUCUUCGCAGUCGAGUGGCACUUUGUAGACCGUGUGGCAAGACAAUUUGGAAGAAGACAAGGUAUUCCAAUUGAGGAGAGCAAGGAGGAAAUGCUAUCUCUGCAUCGGUUCGAUCGAAGGAACAAUCAGGAUAUAUCGGAUUGGGCAAACAAACACCGUGCAUGGAUAGAAUUUUGGAAUCAAAGAGACACACUAGUGUAAUCAGAGAAUAGACCUCACAAUCAGUCAGCAUAUCAGAAGUAUCAAGUGUGGUAUGCGGAUCAUUACCGGUUAAAUCUAAAGCCUGGUUGGACUCACGAGGAGUGGUCGGAGUUGGUGUCUGAAGACCCGGAGACUGCAGAAGGUUAUCAUACCUUCAACACGGCUGUGAGAGACACCAGAGGGGCUCACGUUGACUAUGCACCGAUGCAUGAUGAAAUGGUAGUCUGUUUGACCUAUUCUAACAAACUUGCAUGCAUCAUGUUGUCUUCUUUCAAAUACAUAAGUUUGGUUUGUUCAUGA
rnacentral:rRNA from 1 species